CAAGGAAUUUUCCGCAAUGGGCGCAAGCCUGACGGAGCAACGCCGCGUGCGGGAGGACGCCCUUCGGGGUGUAAACCGCUUUUCUUGGGGAUGACGACCGACAGUACCCGAGGAAGAAGGACCGGCUAACUACGUGCCAGCAGCCGCGGUAAUACGUAGGGUCCGAGCGUUGUCCGGAGUUACUGGGCGUAAAGCGCGCGCAGGCGGCCGUUCAAGUCUGGCGUGAAAGCCCCCGGCUCAACCGGGGAGGGUCGUCGGAGACUGGGCGGCUUGAGGGCGGCAGGGGCUGGUGGAAUUCCCGGUGUAGUGGUGAAAUGCGUAGAGAUCGGGAGGAACACCCGUGGCGAAGGCGGCCAGCUGGGCCGGUCCUGACGCUGAGGCGCGAAGGCGUGGGGAGCGAACGGGAUUAGAUACCCCUGUAGUCC
rnacentral:rRNA from 1 species